AGCCAUAUCAAGUUGAAACACCGUUUCUCAUACAAUCACCAAAGUUAAGCAAUGUUGAGCCUAGUCAGUAUCUAGAUGGGUGACCACUUAGGAAUACCAGGUGCUGUGAG